GAUGAAGAACGCAGCGAAGUGCGAUAAGUAAUGUGAAUUGCAGAAUUCCGUGAAUCAUCGAAUCUUUGAACGCAUAUUGCACCUUCUGGUAUUCCGGAAGGUAUGCCUGUUUGAGGGUCAGUUAAAUAAAAAUCGGUGUUGUUGCUGCCUUUCGUGGUGACGCGUCGGAGUUGGGUCGUCUUAACCUUCGGCUAAGUGACUUAAAAUUUUGCAUGAUUUUUCGAACGUAUUUAAAUUGUUUUACGUACGUUUGGGAUAUCUGAAUGUUUUUAUUAGGUUCGGUCAUCCUCAUGAUUCGCGCCUAUAAAUCUUUUCAUUAAAUGACCUCAAAUCAGGUAAGAAUACCCGCUGAACUUAAGCAUAUCAAUAAGCGGAGGA
rnacentral:misc_RNA from 1 species